rnacentral:rRNA from 1 species
CGUGUAGGCGGCUUGGUAAGUCCGUUGUGAAAUCUCACAGCUUAACUGUGAAACUGCGACGGAAACUGCUUUGCUAGAGUGCGGGAGAGGAGAGUGGAAUUCCCAGUGUAGAGGUGAAAUUCGUAGAUACUGGGAGGAACACCGGUGGCGAAGGCGGCUCUCUGGACCGCUACUGACGCUGAGACGCGAAAGCUAGGGGAGCAAACAGGAUUAGAUACCCUGGUAGUC